GGACGGGCUCUGACGGUGCUUUCCUAUUGGUCCACAGCAGGGCCAGGCCCGCCUCCCGGAAGUCCUGAUGGGAACAGUAGAUAAGAGGGUUCAGACUGCAGUCCAGGUCCCUUGGCAUUAACAGUGUCAUUCUCGGAUGGUUUACCUGUUGCAGCUGGAGCGGCAGCUGCUGGCACUCAGUAGAGUGCAGAAGACGAUGAGGAGGAAAGGGAGGAAGAUACAGAUGGAGAAAGCACAUAGGAUGUAGACCAACAUGUCUGAGUAGCUGCUCUCCCAAAAGACAGCACACAGCAUCUCUGCAGGGUCGUACCUGAAGGAUAAUGAAGACGAACAGAGUAGAAACAACAUGGAACACUAACCAUCAUUGAUGGAAACCAUCAAGUAAACUAUUGUACAUACUUGAUCCAGGCGUAGACAACAGGGACACUCCCAAACACCACCCCUGUCACCCAAGAAGCCAAGCAUGCUGUCAUCAUGAAAACAAAGGGAGCACUUUUUGUGGAGACCAUACCAAUCAGCCGCUGCACACACAGUAUAGCUGUAAAGGAAAAAAGAAAUCUGCAAAAUGACUACAUCAAAGGAAUUAUGGGACUGUUACUAUAAUGGCACUAAUACACCAUUGCUAUGGCUACUACUGUAGUACUGCUGCAAGAAUCUAGCUGUAUUUGAGUAAAGCAGGUAGGUGCAUCAGAGGCUAUUGUUAACAAGAGUAUCAAGAUGGAUUGAUGCUGCUUUCAGUCUUAGCUUGGGUCAACAAGUUCGCUGUGUUUUCUUAGGGCGUUUUCACACCUAAAAGUCUGGACCAAGGUCCGGACCAGCGUUGGUAUUUCAUUACAUUGUGUACAUUUGAUCCCGUUAUUUUCGGUUUCACAUAGUCAUUUUGCUAGCGCACUAAAGAACUUUCCAUGACAUACCUACGGCGUGUUGUCACCACGUACGUGUGUUGCGUCUCCCUUUGAUUGGUGAGUAGACGGGCUUGCGUCUGACGUUGGCGUGUUGUCAUUUUGGCGGGUAGUCUUUUCCGUAUGAAUGAAAAUGAAUGAGCAAAUCCCGAUUGCGUUAUUAUGGUAUUACUACCAACAUAAACAUAUAAUCUCCUCCUCUCCCCACGUACUUCCACGACUCAUUUUUGCUUAUUCUGGCGGCGAAUUUACAAAUCCUACUAUGGCCACGCCAAGUCCCGCCCUAUGCCUACCUCUGAUUGGCUUAAACUUACACGUCGCCCUUUACGCGCUUCAACACACCUCCAGCACUGCCGACGUUCACAGCGCAGUUUGAAAUGUGUGUCUCUAGACUACAACGCUACGCGGGGAGAAGAAACUAAAAGAAACAAAUUCAAGAAAGGAGACGCUAAUAUUGCUAAUAAAAAUGAAACAACCAUAAAAGACGUAUAUUAACAUCGUUUGCAGCAACCGUAGCCUUUACCACCAUAGCUUAUUAGCUGCUAGCAGCAUUACUGACAGGAGACUAGUAUUUUACUCUAAUUAGAGAUAUUAAUAGCUAGAUAAUAAUAAUCUUCUAAAGUUACAAAAGUAGUCAAUCAACACUAAUGGCAGGCGUAUGUGUCAAAGACGACAUUUUUGUUUAAUGUAUGCAUGUAUUCAACAUAACUUAUCCCAAUAGCUACAAUACAGGCUAUGUAUAGGACAUGUAUACUGUAGGAAUUCUGUCAUCAAUAUUAUGGUCAUUCUGAGAGUGGUUAUUAGGCUACUGAUAGUCUGUUAACGCAAUAUGGCAUAGAUUAUGAUAUUACAUUUAGUGCUAAAAGCAUGAUUGUCAGAAGUAAAAAGAAUAAGAAACAUAUAUUCCUUGGUAGUGUUUCGGCGUACCAGCACACGCGAGAAUGUAGCGUACUUCCUCAUUGAGCUCAGCCAAUCAGAGGUAGGCAUAGGGCGGGACUUGGCGUGGCCAUAGUAGGAUUCGUAAAUUCGCGUUCUGGCAGGGGUUUUCCUCCGUUUUUUUUCUUCUUCUUCUAUGGUACGUAUGCCUAACUUCCUGUAAUUGGUCCGAAAGUCCGAACCAUCCAAAAAGUGUUUUCAUACUGUAAACGAACCGAACCAUGGUUCAGUUUGAUCCGGACCGAGACCACCUCUUUAGUUCGGAUAAAAUUUGGUCUUUUGAUCGGGACCGUGGUCCGUGGCACCUUUCUCACCUACAAUUUUGGUUCGGACCAAACUGAAAAGUCCGAAGGUCCAGACCAAAUGUGGUAUGUGUGAAAACGCCCUUAAUGUUACCUUCACAUAUCAGAUCUUCUGGGUGCAAAGAGAACUGGUCGAAUCAAGUGCCAAAUACCAGGGUGCCUCACCUGGGCCAGGACCAGCAUUAACUGUUUCAGCAGUUUGAGCUACAGUAGCUCGUCUGUUGGAUCGGACCACACAGGGCCUUCGCUCCCCACCUGCAUCAAUGAGCCUUGGCCCCCCAUGACCCUGUCUCCGGUUCUUUUCCUUCCUUGGACCACUUUUGAUAGAUACUGACCUCUGCAGACAGGAACACCCCACAAGAGCUGCAGGUUUGGAGAUGCUCUGACCCAGUCAUCUAGCCAUCACAAUGUGGCCCUUGUCAAAGUCGCUCAGAUCCUCACAGUGCUCAUUUUUCCUGCUUCUAACACAUCAGCUCUGAGGACAAAAUGUUCACUUGCUGCCUGAUAUAUCCCCCCCCCCACUGACAGGAGCCAUGAUAACCAGAAAAUCAGUGUUAUUCACUGUCAGUGCUCACAGAGUUAUGGCUGAUCUGUGUAUGUAUAUAUUAGGUAUUAUAUAAAGGGUUUGCAUAAGGUGUGGGUAUAAAAUGAAUGUGUAUGUAUAAGAAGUAAGUAGGAUGUGGUAAAUAUAUGAAUAAAUAGUGCAAAUAAAGUACCUGUGAUGUUGUAAGCAGUGGGUGAUGAGACAGAGACAACAUACAGUGCUACAUUAUGUCAUGCUGGUGUUAAUGACUGCUGAUGGAAUGAAGGGCCAUUGGUAGCCCUCCUUCUUGCACUGCGGGGGCAGCAGUCUCUUGCUGAAGGAGCUACUUAGGACCCACACAAGAGCUGCAGUAAUUGCCCAUCAUGCAGCGCCAUCUUGGAUUAUCACUUUUACUUAACUGUGACUCAUUCUCUUGGUUUUAUUUAUACCUUAAUUCACCUUUCAAAUGAAUGAAAAUAUUUAGUUUGGUCUUAAGGAAUGCACUGCAUUCCUGUUGUGAUUCAGGUUAAUCAACAGUAAAGUCAGUCCUACCUAUGAAGUUACAUACUGUUAGGAAAUGUAGCUGCUACAUGCUCCACUGCAACCCCAUCUCCUAUAAAUAACAUUUGCCUACUAAAUUGGUUUCAUAAUUAUGUUGUGGUGACAACAAAAUACCAUUCUGAUUACAUUCAGAGACAACAUUUUUUGAAAUUUUCUUUAUGUAACACAGUGAUGAUGUGGUUGGGAUGGAUGGUGAAGGAAAAAAAUGUGAUUUCAGUUAAAUGUUAUACUAACUAUCCAAUAGUCACUGCUGUAUUUUGAGUAAUGCUGCUGUCACAAUAAUGCAUUAAUUCCCAGACAUGGGUCGAUUUUGUUUGUUUGCAAAUAAAUUUUUUUUAGCAUACAUUCUGUAAGAGGCAGACAGGUUUUCCAAAUAACUGCUACUGGGGGAAAAAACAAAACUAUGUUUGCCUAAGUGCUUUUAUUGUGUCUCAUUUAUAAAUUAUUUAAAAUGUGUACUUUGUUUUGUUGAUGAUGGAAAAAUGAGAUCCUUAACAUCUGCUAAAUGCAGUUGUCUCGUUUAUAAAGUGAAUGUACAUUCUGUAAAAAGGAGAUGGGGUCUCCAAAUUACUGCUACUAUGAGGAAAAACAAAAGCCUGUUAACAUAAAUGCAUUUAUUGUGUCUCAUUUAUAAUGUAUUUAAAAAGUGCACAUUGUUUUACUGAUGAGGUAAAAAACAAGAGCUUUAACUUUUCUUAAACACAUUUGUCUCAUAAAGUGAGCGCACAUUCUGUUUGUCAAACUGAGAGGAAUAAACAACCUCAAUGCCUUUA